UGGGCUUUAUCCUUUAAGUGAAUCAAUGAGUGUCCAUACAUCGUUGACCUUCAUCGACUCCAUUUCGGACCUAUGGCUCCAAGCCAUUAAUCAGAGUCAAACUUUUGCAUGGCAUCCAUGUAGGUGAUCAAAUCUUUGUUGUUCUCAUCAAGUUCAACAAGAUCACGUCUCAAAAUUAGAAAUCAAAAUAUCUAUCCGACAGAUGCGGUACUCUAUCGGAUCUUCUUAAAGGUACCUCUACAAUGAAUUUCAAAUUUGAUCUAAUUAAAUUUGAUUCUAUAAGUUCAUUAGAUUGUGUCGGUUCUUUUAUCUAUCGAACUUCAUAAGUUCUACAUUAAAGGCAUC
rnacentral:lncRNA from 1 species